AUUGAACGCUGGCGGCAUGCCUUACACAUGCAAGUCGAACGGCAGCGGACCUUCGGGUGCCGGCGAGUGGCGAACGGGUGAGUAAUAUAUCGGAACGUACCUUUCAGUGGGGGAUAACGUAGCGAAAGUUACGCUAAUACCGCAUAUUCUGUGAGCAGGAAAAGCAGGGGAUCGCAAGACCUUGCGCUGAUUGAGCGGCCGAUAUCAGAUUAGCUAGUUGGGUGAGGUAAAGGCUCACCAAGGCGACGAUCUGUAGCGGGUCUGAGAGGAUGAUCGCCACACUGGAACUGAGACACGGUCCAGACUCCUACGGGAGGCAGCAGUGGGGAAUUUUGGACAAUGGGCGCAAGCCUGAUCCAGCCAUGCCGCGUGAGUGAAGAAGGCCUCGGUU
rnacentral:rRNA from 1 species